rnacentral:rRNA from 1 species
UAACCUGCCCAAGAGAUCGGGAUAACACCUGGAAACAGAUGCUAAUACCGGAUAACAACAGAUGAUGCCUAUCAACUGUUUAAAAGAUGGUUCUGCUAUCACUCUUGGAUGGACCUGCGGUGCAUUAGCUAGUUGGUAGGGUAACGGCCUACCAAGGCGAUGAUGCAUAGCCGAGUUGAGAGACUGAUCGGCCACAUUGGGCUGAGACACGGCCCAACUCCUACGGGAGGCAGCAG